rnacentral:rRNA from 1 species
UACAGAGGGGGCAAGCGUUAUUCGGAAUUAUUGGGCGUAAAGGGCGCGUAGGCGGCCAGGCAAGUGGAAGGUGAAAUCCCUCGGCUUAACCGAGGAACUGCCCUCCAAACUGCUUGGCUUGAGACCGGGAGAGGUGAGUGGAAUUCCCAGUGUAGCGGUGAAAUGCGUAGAUAUUGGGAGGAACACCAGUGGCGAAGGCGGCUCGCUGGGACGGUACUGACGCUGAGGCGCGAAAGCGUGGGGAGCGAACAGG